rnacentral:lncRNA from 1 species
UUGACGACUUCUUUUUUUUUUUUUUUUUUAAUAUAGAUGUUUGCAGUUAUACAUCUUGAAAUGCUGUCACCUGAAAACUAUUACUACUACUAGCAACAAAUUUACAUCUUUUAGUCAGAAGAGAGACCAACUUCCCUUAGGAUGAUACAGUGUCAUUCCUGGUUCUCUUUCUGGAAAUACGGUGUAUAUCGGAGGACAAAGCAAACCAGGGACGCCUUGUCUUGGAAUCAUACCAUCAACAAGCUGAAAUACAAAUUGAAAGGAGAUGGCUGUGCAGCAUGAAGUGAUGUGGUGUGGAGACUGCUGAGGCAAGGCUGCAAUGGAGUGCUCUGGGUCCAGAAGGACUAUCUGUUUUCUACUGCUUUUCAGAGCUAAUUAAAUGGGAUUUAGCUUCUUUUCCCCAAGCCGGUACCACUAGGUGAGUAUUGUGUUACUUAGUGAUUAUCUCACUCCCUAGUUCUGACCUAAAGUAGAGCACUGCAUCCCCGGAAC